GUGAUCACUUUGGCAGCACACAUACUAAAAUUGGAAAGAUACAGAGAUUAACAUGUCUCCUGCACAAGGAUGACAUGCAAAUUUGUGAAAUGUUCCAUAUUUUG